AGAGUUUGAUCCUGGCUCAGAACGAACGCUGGCGGCAGGCUUAACACAUGCAAGUCGAACGGGUGUAGCAAUACAUCAGUGGCAGACGGGUGAGUAACACGUGGGAACUUUCCUCGUUGUACGGAACAACUCAGGGAAACUUGAGCUAAUACCGUAUACGUCCGAGAGGAGAAAGAUUUAUCGCAAUGAGACGGGCCCGCGUCGGAUUAGCUAGUUGGUGGGGUAACGGCCUACCAAGGCGACAAUCCGUAGCUGAUCUGAGAGGAUGAUCAGCCACACUGGGACUGAGACACGGCCCAGACUCCUACGGGAGGCAGCAGUGGGGAAUUUUCCGCAAUGGGCGAAAGCCUGACGGAGCAACGCCGCGUGAGGGAGGAAGGCUCUUGGGUUGUAAACCUCUUUUGUCAGGGAAGAGGAACUGACGGGACCUG
rnacentral:rRNA from 1 species